rnacentral:misc_RNA from 1 species
GAUGAAGAACGCAGCGAAAUGCAAUAAGUAAUGUGAAUUGCAGAAUUCAGUGAAUCAUCGAAUCUUUGAACGCACAUUGCGCCCGGUAGUAUUCUGCCGGGCAUGCCUGUUCGAGCGUCAUUUCAACCAUCAAGCCCCAGCGCUUGUGUUGGGGGCCUGCGGCUGCCGCAGCCCCCUAAAAGCAGUGGCGGGCUCGCUAUCACACCGAGUGCAGUAGUUCAUCUUCUCUCCGGUCUUGUGAGGCGGGUUCCGGCCGUGAAACACCCCACUACAUUCAAGGUUGACCUCGGAUCAGGUAGGAAUACCCGCUGAACUUAAGCAUAUCAAUAAGCGGAGGA